rnacentral:rRNA from 1 species
CCUACGGGAGGCAGCAGUGAGGACUAUUGGUCAAUGGACGAGAGUCUGAACCAGCCAAGUAGCGUGAAGGAUGACUGCCCUAUGGGUUGUAAACUUCUUUUAUAAAGGAAUAAAACGAGGCACGUGUGCCUUUUUGCAUGUACUUUAUGAAUAAGGAUCGGCUAACUCCGUGCCAGCAGCCGCGGUAAUACGGAGGCUCCGAGCGUUAUCCGGAUUUAUUGGGUUUAAAGGGAGCGUAGGCGGGUUGUUAAGUCAGUUGUGAAAGUUUGCGGCUCAACCGUAAAAUUGCAGUUGAUACUGGCAUCCUUGAGUACAGUAGAGGGAGGCGGAAUUCGUGGUGUAGCGGUGAAAUGCUUAGAUAUCACGAAGAACUCCGAUUGCGAAGGCAGCCUGCUGGACUGUAACUGACGCUGAUGCUCGAAAGCGUGGGGAGCAAACAGGAUUAGAUACCCUUGUAGUC